UGGAGACAGUGUAAAGAAGUGUAUGGAGUGGAGAAAGGAGCCCAGUUUUCAAGGAGAGAGGUCUCUGUGUCAUGUGACCAGCCGGCUAAGUACACAGCCGGGUUAGAAGCACAACUAUGGAGGAAAGAGGUCCCAGCUGGGAAGGAAGUUAAACGUUUGGUCUGUAUUAGACAAGAAUCUAAUCAGACAAGAGCCAACACUAUCUUGAACUGAGCUGCUUAUUGGAUGAGGAUGGAUCCAGGAUGGCAUGGCUCUCUGAGGGAUGGUAUGCCACAGAGCAAACCGCAGCAAAAAGGUCCAAAAGACAAGACUGAAGCAAGACAUGGCCUCAUUACUGCAAUGAAAGUCAUCUCAAUUCAGGUUUGUCUUGACGGCUUCUCAAACGGAAGUUUGGUAGAAGAAAGAUAAAAGAAGAAGAAGGAAAGCAAAUCUAAGCAGUAACAACAAC